UACGUAGGGCGCAAGCGUUGUCCGGAAUUAUUGGGCGUAAAGAGCUCGUAGGCGGUUUGUCGCGUCUGCUGUGAAAACCUAAGGCUCAACCUUGGGCUUGCAGUGGGUACGGGCAGACUAGAGUGCGGUAGGGGAGAUUGGAAUUCCUGGUGUAGCGGUGGAAUGCGCAGAUAUCAGGAGGAACACCAAUGGCGAAGGCAGAUCUCUGGGCCGUAACUGACGCUGAGGAGCGAAAGCAUGGGGAGCGAACAGG
rnacentral:rRNA from 1 species